CAGCACCACAUGCAUAAAGUGGGGAGCUCACAUGGCUUGGUGCCCAUGGCAGGACCAACCUAUUCAUCUUAAUCAUCCCUACCAUGUUCCAAGAAACAACAACCAUUGGCACAACUAGAUUUGCACAUGAUGUCCUUAUUUUCCAAGAAGCUUCCCCCACCAAAUCAUUAUGUGCCCAAGGGAUGCCAGAAGGUUGGGUGCUGGUGGGAUCAGUCACAAAGUCCACCAUUUGGCCUGUACUGAGAUCUAAAGGUGGAUCAGUGGAUAAGUGAAAUGACUGUGGUACAUGUGAUAUGUUGUUCCCUUGACUUUUUAUGCAUAGUUCAAUAAUAAUUCACUCUC
rnacentral:lncRNA from 1 species